CGCAGAGUAGCUGUUGACAUUAUAGUUGCGCAAGCACUUUGUUGACUAUAGAGAACCUCGGGCAAAUCGCACAUCCCCGUGGCGGUGACUUUGCACGCGGAUGUGCAAUGCCAGUUUCUGCGCCUACCAUGGUGACCACGGGUAACAGGGAAUCAAGGUUCCAUUCCAUACAGGGACCCUGAGAAAUGGCUACCACAUGCAAGGAAGGCAGCAGGCGCGCAAGUCUCACUCCCGACGUGGGAAGGUAGUGACG